UAAUUUACUUCUUUAUUAUGUAUAGAUGGGUACAAAUUGAGUAUUGAUCACCAUACAUUUAAGAGUCAAGAGACCAGUCAGAUAUCAAAACUAUAAACCAAAAUUAUUAAGUUUAGAUUUAAAAUUAUUUUCAAAUCUAAACUUGUAUCAAGAUGUUGGUUUAUGAGUGUAUAUAAUACAAAAGUUCAAUCAAUUUUGACAAACAGUUUAGAUGUUUUUUUUUCUAUUUAGAUCUUAUUUAAAAAUGGUAUGUUGAGUAUUUAUAUUCUCCUCAAUAGUCGAUGGAUAAGUCGUCUUUAUAAAAAUGUCCGACUGCUAAAAGGCAGAUUUUCACAGGAAGUGAUUUUCACUUAAAAUCUGUUGAUUUAAACUAAAUUCUGUAACAAAAUGUAUAUCAUCAAAUUUAUUUAGUUUUUAAAAAACUCAAAUAAGUAUAUUUUACUCCAAACAGUUUUAUUUCAGAUUUAAAUACAUAACUGCCACAAAGUUAAGUAGUUAGAUUAAUUAUAUUUUACUUAACAUAGUUCAAAUCUUCUUGAUCCCAGAAAUGUUUUUACAGUAUCGGUUAGAUGAUUGGAUGGUUGAUGUUAAUUCAUCCAUAUAUAUUCUCAUUUUCAUGUUGACAACCUCUAUCAUGCUGGAAUCUGAUCCACUUUCAGCUAAAGAAACACGUUAUGUCACUAGAAUGAAAGUACAAUUUACUUCUCAAGGAAAACUGUCACAAUCAGAGAUGGAAGAGGUUUUAGCAGAGUACCUCAAAGCACAUGGUCUAUCAAAGUUUUCCAUGACAGUUCGCAUCAUCAAACCAUAAGCGAUGAAGAAAGUCAAGGAUGACAUCUUGGAUCAGCCCAGUUGCUAUGCAGAAUGUUUACUUCUGUCUGUUCUUUUAAAUUGUAUAUUUGUUUUCAGCAACAUUUAUUUAUCUUGGACAACAUUUUCUAAGAGAUUGUUUAAAUAAUCUUAUAUCAUUCGUGAAUCUAUUUUUGUCUCACUAUUGGUUCAGGUGUCUGACUUUUUGUUUACCAGAUUCAGUUCAAUUUAUCUUGCUGUAAUGAUUUUCUUAUACAUAUAUUGUGUUGGAUUGCUAUUGAGCUAAAUAGUUGUAAUAAUUUUUGUGUCUUUGAAGAAAAUGUUAAAACUGAAACCAGCAUGUAGUUCAUAAAGCAAG